UAGACAAGGCUGUAGAUGUGCAGGCCAAAACAUUGUUCCCCAAGGUGGCCGUUACAGAAUUUUUCAAAGGAUGCAUCUACACAAGGAAAUGUCUCACCUGUUUAUCAGCAAUGGUGAAGCUGCUCCAGAGCUACCAUUGGUGAAAGAUCCGUUUGGACAUUGGCUGCUCAGAGUCUUGAGACAGGGCUAAGCAGAUGAAGUUUGAAAGUUGAGACUUACUGAGGACUAAUGACAUUGCUUGAAUUGAACCAGUGUUGGGUUUGAGUGACUGGCAUUAACAAUUGUGUGCAUUUCA